GUGUAGAGGCUACGAUAAAGACAAAAUUGAAGACUGGCGAGCCCUUAAUCAAGUUUGUUCGAGUUGACACAGACAUGAGUGGCUUGCAAUAUCCCAUUUGUGUUUGUGGGCUAAAUUAAAACUCGAUCCCAUCAUUCUUUUGUUCCUUCUGUUCUUCGCCGCCCAUGUCAAGAAUCAAGAUCCUGGAUGCUUCAGGAUUCUACUGUUAGAUCAAGAUCACUACAGACAUUUUGAUUUUGUUCAAAGAGAGGUCACCUCCUAGCCGAGUAGCGAUCGAGCCAAUGGAAUUCUACCCAAAAAGGUGUUGUUUACUGGCCCUCCAUCCAUGCAUAGUUAUUUCUCUAUUGUUUUAGUGCU
rnacentral:lncRNA from 1 species